UCGGGAAUUUUGGGCAAUGGGCGAAAGCCUGACCCAGCAACGCCGCGUGAAGGAUGAAGUAUUUCGGUAUGUAAACUUCGAAAGAAUAGGAAGAAUAAAUGACGGUACUAUUUAUAAGGUCCGGCUAACUACGUGCCAGCAGCCGCGGUAAUACGUAGGGACCAAGCGUUGUUCGGAAUUACUGGGCGUAAAGAGUACGUAGGCGGUGAUUCAAGUCAGAGGUGAAAGCCUGGAGCUCAACUCCAGAACUGCCUUUGAAACUAGAUCGCUAGAAUCAUGGAGAGGUUAGUGGAAUUCCGAGUGUAGAGGUGAAAUUCGUAGAUAUUCGGAAGAACACCAGUGGCGAAGGCGACUAACUGGACAUGUAUUGACGCUGAGGUACGAAAGCGUGGGGAGCAAACAGGAUUAGAUACCCUGGUAGUCCCUGAGCGGGCUGGCAAGGCGCAU
rnacentral:rRNA from 1 species